UUGUGGCACACCAGUGAAAAUGGUUGUCAUAGAAUUGUCAGAAGUGACAGCGGUUAAAAAAGAGAGGGUCCCUGACCAUUUCUCCCGACAUCUGAGACCUCACCUGCUGGGUCUUUCACCACCAUGGACAAACGGCCAACAUCCUUCUGGGGCUCUCACAAGGGGUCCACAAAGACUAAAGCUGAACAGUGUCUCUUGAAGGGGGUUAGCAACAUGUCCAACAUGAACUGGAACGGCUCACAGAAAAAGCAGGCUGCAGAAAGAUGGCUCUUCUCAAGGAUGCAAGUUUGACUGUGAAAACAGCUUUGAUUAGCAGUGGUAGCUGUGCAGAAAAGGUGGCACAUACCCCUUGAAUACCAGGAAAGUUGGCCACCAUCCUGAGGAUUUUGCAACAGAAAAAUUAAGAGCCUGGAGUCAUGCCUAUGGUGAGUAUACAAUGACAGACUGGGACCUUCAAAGGGAAUCCGGCUUGCUCUGUAAGUGGUCAACGCCUAGGUUCUCAAAGCUCAGAAUUUCAAGCCAAUGUACAUCAUGUAAUGGGCGGUGAUUAUGCUGACAACAGGCAUGAAGGA